CUGGCCCCACUUCGACCAACCCCCACAGCCGUCACAACCCUUCCUCCUCCUCCAUCCUCCCUCUCCCUCUCUCGUCAGCCGUCGCCGCCAUUUUGCCUCCGUCGUCUUUGUCCGACGCCGACGACCAGCCCAUCCCACUGUCUCCGGAUCCGUGCUCCGCAGCGCACGUGCGGACGCCCGAGCACAAGGAGGUGAGCGGUGGCGUGGUGGCUCCUCACCGCUGUUUCGGCGACCGGGAAAGACGGAGAGGAGCGGAAACUGCUUCCUCCUCACAGCGGUCGACUGGUUGACGCGUGGCACCACCGCGUGCUCGUCUCCUCUGCAUCGUGAGCGGCGCCGCCUCUGCCCCCACACAAGAGAAGCAUCGCCGUUGCCAUGUCCUCGGCAAAGGUGGAGCGCGGGAUCCUGUGAUGGCUGCUGCCGUUGCCGCCGUCCUUUCUCUCGCUGCCGCCACCACCCCUCCGCCUCCCUCACCCCGCCGCUGCAAUCCCAGGUGAGGCCCGCGGAUGAGGAAUGCGGGGGCGACGUCGAGCGCCGGCCAUGUCCCUCUCGCUCCUACGGCCAUUUGCGGCAGCGAACUGUGGCGAGAUGAUGGUGAACGAAGACGAUGCAUCAUCCUCGUCUCACGAGGAUGGAAACAGUAGCAGAUCGAGGAGGACGGCGCGACCACGACUGUGGCACAGGUCAAGAGUUCAUGUUCUUUCUUUUACAUUUUUGCAGGCCUUUUCUCUCCAAGUGCAGAACACUUUCCCGCUCCCCAUCGAUGACAAUCUUCCUGGUAUUUACCUUUGCUGUUAUCAUUCCGGGCCUUGCAUGGAGCAACAUCUUAUCUUAUGGUUCACCCAGAAGGAAACAUAAUGGUUGACAGAUGCAGAUACGUAUGCCACAAGCUGUGCCAACCUCAAAGGUUAGAGAUCCCCGCUUGGGUCGAUAUCGGAGAGGCAUUGCUGAUUGAGUGGUGCCAGCCGGAGGAGAUGAUGACCCAACAGCAUGGAAAAACAAUGCUUACUGGAGGCAAUGUUCUCUUCUUGUUGAGGGGAAAUGGUAUAUUGCUCUUCUUCAUGAAGUGGAUUUCAGCUAUUCUAAGGGCUUUCCCUGUGACUCUCUACCUAACAGGGCUUUCCGUGUGACUCUACCUAAUGUUUUGCCGGUAAUUUCUAAAGCUUGGUGGGUCUAUUUAGAGACUUCAGAUUGUUUUAUUCUUGCCAUAGUGAUUAGCACUACACCAAAUGGUAUACAUUUCUGUAUUGUGCCCUGCAGGAAACUUGUGGUGGCCAUAAGCAAUUUCAAGAGCUCGCUGUAAUCAUUUGAAUAGUUACAUUCUUCAUGUUCUGAAUGAGCUGACAAGGAAGGAAUCUUGGUUUCACGGACUAUAUGAUCUCGAAGACUGCUUCUCCUUUGGUCUCUUCACCAAGGUUUGCUCCCUUUCUCACUGUUGAUGCAUUAGCUUUGUUUCUAUUAUAUUCUUGUGAUGCUUUGUGUCUGUGCUGAUCCACCGCCAACUGAGGUAUACAAAUAUGUUAUAUUUCCUGCAUUUGUGCUGAUCCACACAAUUUGCUGGUCUCCACCUUAUUCCUUUUCGGACAUCUGCAUUUGUAUAUGUAGUCAUGUACACCCACUUCAAAAAUGAGCAAGGCUACCCCUUCAGCUGCAGCUGUAGGGUACUAUGACUGGACUUGGCGUCUGAUUUCAAUUGUCUUGAUCUUUGAUUCAUGCUGACUCCCUUUAAAGGCCCCUAGAUGUGUUUUAAUUACCACUCCUGCCAAGAAGAUAAACAUGGCAGCUGAGCCUAUAGUUCCAGCUGAGGAACAACCCAAGGUUGACAGUGACACUGCACAUGGAGCUUCUCUGACUGCUACUGAAGACACCGCGAUCAGCUUAACAAGCCAAAGAGAAUGUGCUAUUCAGUAGGCAUGAUUUAUAUGGAGAGGGAGAAUGCCGGCAGCCGGAAUUCUGGACCGGAAACGAGCAAAUCUGAGAUACCUAUUCUACACAACUCCAAAUGUCCUGAAACUUUACGGAGAAUUAUUUUGGAAUAUAUAAAAUAUUGGGUGAAUAAACAAUAGAAGGGGACCCACCAGGAGGCCACAAGCCUGGGGGCGCUCUACCCCCAAGGCGCCCCCCAAGGCUUGUGGGCCCCCUGGCAUCGUCUGGUGCCCAUCUUCUACUAUAUGAAGGGUUUUGACCUAGAAGAAAUAGGAAGAGAGCUUUCGGGACGAAGCGCCGCCGUCUCGAGGCGGAACUUGGGCAGAAGCAAUCUAGGGCUCCGGCGGAGCUAUUCUGCCGGGGAAACUUC